GUGUCUAUUAAAAGGAGAGACCGUUCGCACUCCCCUUGACAAGGAUAGAACACAUAAAUUGCCUAAAGCACUAAUUGACCACAAUCGCCCCAUAAGCCUUCUCAAAACCUUUGGGAAGAUUUACGAACGAUUAAU